AUGGCGACCGGCGCACGAGUGAGUAACACGUAUCCAACCUGCCGAUAACUCGGGGAUAGCCUUUCGAAAGAAAGAUUAAUACCCGAUGGCAUAAUAGAACCGCAUGGUUUGAUUAUUAAAGAAUUUCGGUUAUCGAUGGGGAUGCGUUCCAUUAGGCAGUUGGUGGGGUAACGGCCCACCAAGACUACGAUGGAUAGGGGUUCUGAGAGGAAGGUCCCCCACAUUGGAACUGAGACACGGUCCAA
rnacentral:rRNA from 1 species